GACGAACGCUGGCGGCGUGCUUAACACAUGCAAGUCGAACGGUGAACCACUUCGGUGGGGAUCAGUGGCGAACGGGUGAGUAACACGUGGGCAACCUGCCCUUAGCUCUGGGAUAACCCCGGGAAACCCGGGCUAAUACCGGAUACGACCUCGAGCGGCAUCACUCGAGGUGGAAAGAAUUUCGGCUAAGGAUGGGCCCGCGGCCUAUCAGCUUGUUGGUGGGGUAACGGCCUACCAAGGCGA
rnacentral:rRNA from 1 species